rnacentral:rRNA from 1 species
GAGUUUGAUCAUGGCUCAGAUUGAACGCUGGCGGCAUGCCUAACACAUGCAAGUCGAACGGUAACGCGGGGGCAACCCUGGCGACGAGUGGCGGACGGGUGAGUAAUACGUAGGAAUCUGCCCAUUUGUGGGGGAUAACCCGGCGAAAGCCGGGCUAAUACCGCAUACGCUCUACGGAGGAAAGCGGGGGAUCGUAAGACCUCGCGCUAAUGGAUGAGCCUACGUCGGAUUAGCUAGUUGGUGGGGUAACGGCCCACCAAGGCGACGAUCCGUAGCUGGUCUGAGAGGACGAUCAGCCACACUGGGACUGAGACACGGCCCAGACUCCUACGGGAGGCAGCAGUGGGGAAUACUGGACAAUGGGGGCAACCCUGAUCCAGCAAUGCCGCGUGUGUGAAGAAGGCCUGCGGGUUGUAAAGC